GUGCUUAACACAUGCAAGUCGAGUGCGCGCCUGUAGCAAUACAGGUGGCGCACGGCGCACGGGUGCGUAACACGUGGGUAAUCUGCCCUCUGAUGGGGAAUAACUCGCCGAAAGGCGAGCUAAUUCCGCAUAAUAUUCCGAGAACCUCGGUUUUUGGACUGAAAGGCGUAAGUCGUCGGAGGAGGAGCCCGCGCACGAUUAGCUAGUUGGUAGGGUAAUGGCCUACCAAGGCUUUGAUCGUUAGCUGGUCUGAGAGGAUGGCCAGCCACACUGGAACUGAGACACGGUCCAG
rnacentral:rRNA from 1 species